rnacentral:rRNA from 1 species
GACGAACGCUGGCGGCGUGCCUAAUACAUGCAAGUAGAACGCUGAAGAGAGGAGCUUGCUCUUCUUGGAUGAGUUGCGAACGGAUGAGUAACGCGUAGGUAACCUGCCUUGUAGCGGGGGAUAACUAUUGGAAACGAUAGCUAAUACCGCAUAACAAUGGAUGACACAUGUCAUUUAUUUGAAAGGGGCAAUUGCUCCACUACAAGAUGGACCUGCGUUGUAUUAGCUAGUAGGUGAGGUAAUGGCUCACCUAGGCGACGAUACAUAGCCGACCUGAGAGGGUGAUCGGCCACACUGGGACUGAGACACGGCCCAGACUCCUACGGGAGGCAGCAGUAGGGAAUCUUCGGCAAUGGGGGCAACCCUGACCGAGCAACGCCGCGUGAGUGAAGAAGGUUUUCGGAUCGUAAAGCUCUGUUGUAAGUCAAGAACGGGUGUGAGAGUGGAAAGUUCACACUGUGACGGUAGCUGACCAGAAAGGGACGGCUAACUACGUG